CAGUCGCCGCGGUAAUACGAAGGGUGCAAGCGUUACUCGGAAUUACUGGGCGUAAAGCGUGCGUAGGUGGUGGUUUAAGUCCGUUGUGAAAGCCCUGGGCUCAACCUGGGAAUUGCAGUGGAUACUGGGUCACUAGAGUGUGGUAGAGGAUAGUGGAAUUUCCGGUGUAGCAGUGAAAUGCGUAGAGAUCGGAAGGAACAUCUGUGGCGAAGGCGGCCAUCUGGGACAACACUGACGCUGAGGCACGAAAGCGUGGGGAGCAAACAGGAUUAGAUACCCCAGUAGUCCCUGUCUCUUAUAC
rnacentral:rRNA from 1 species